CUGCGCAGCGCCUCAUUGAGAUGGCACACUUAUUUUGAUAACACAUUUUUUCCGUCUGCAAUUGCUUAUUACGCGAUCACAUGGGACACGAGAGAAAAGCAGCCGCCAAAUUCAAAAAGGUAAUGUCUGCAUUGUCCGCCAGAUGUCACCAGCGCAAUGUUAUUCAAUGUGAUCCAUGUCUUAACUGCUCACGUGUGCUGAUUUGAGUGAAGGGGAUACUAAGAGACAAGCCUCCAGCCCUGGAACCAAUUAGAGCCAGAGGACUCCUUUCAACCGUCCACCAGAGACACCUUCAGUGUGGAGAGAGGGAGAGAUGCAGGUGCUUCUGGCGUUUCUCUGGAGAUGUAAUCAACAGCAUUUCUGUUUUAAGGUUGUCUCCUGUGGGACUGGGCAACAGAAGAUCUUCAUUCCUUCUUUGCCGAAGUUUACAAUGAAAAUCAGCAGAUCUGCACACAAAGAAACUUGAAGUCCACCCAAAAACAGUUCACCCUGUUGACCAUAAUUGGAUCUGUAAGGUCUCCUUCCCCUUUUUUACUGCAUGGUUCCCCUGCAAAGUCAUCUAAGCAGGGGUGCAUGGAAAAUGCCUGGUGACACAUCAACCAAGGACGAAUUUCAAAAAUAGGUACGUCUCCCCCAGGCUGCAGAGCUUUUGGACGCAGUCCAGACCUGCAUGACAAUCGAAAGCGACAGUCAGCUCUCCAACACAGGUGACAACACAGGAGAAAG